UACGGAGGGUGCAAGCGUUAUCCGGAUUCACUGGGUUUAAAGGGAGCGUAGGUGGCUUUGUAAGUCAGUGGUGAAAUAUUGCGGCUCAACCGCAAAACUGCCAUUGAUACUGCUUAGCUUGAAUCACGUCGAGGUGGAUGGAAUAAUACAUGUAGCGGUGAAAUGCUUAGAUAUGUAUUAGAACACCGAUUGCGAAGGCAGUUCACUAGGCGUGUAUUGACACUGAGGCUCGAAAGCGUGGGGAUCAAACAGGAGUAAG
rnacentral:rRNA from 1 species